GGCGACGUGGCCGAGUGGUCGAAGGCAGGGGUCUGCAAAAUCCCGAAUCGUGGGUUCGAAUCCCACCGUCGCCU
rnacentral:tRNA from 2 species